GUGCCCGUAGCUCAAUUGGAUAGAGCGCUGCCCUCCGAAGGCAGAGGUUAGAGGUUCAACUCCUCUCGGGCACG
rnacentral:tRNA from 1 species